GUGAACGCUGGCGGUAGGCCUAACACAUGCCAGUCGAACGGCAGCACAGUAAGAGCUUGCUCUUACGGGUGGCGAGUGGCGGACGGGCGAGGAAUACAUCGGAAUCUACUUUUUCGUGGGGGAUAACGUAGGGAAACUUACGCUAAUACCGCAUACGACCUACGGGUGAAAGCAGGGGAUCUUCGGACCUUGCGCGAUUGAAUGAGCCGAUGUCGGAUUAGCUAGUUGGCGGGGUAAAGGCCCACCAAGGCGACGAUCCGUAGCUGGUCUGAGAGGAUGAUCAGCCACACUGGAACUGAGACACGGUCCAGACUCCUACGGGAGGCAGCAGUGGGGAAUAUUGGACAAUGGGCGCAAGCCUGAUCCAGCCAUACCGCGUGGGUGAAGAAGGCCUUCGGGUUGUAAAGCCCUUUUGUUGGGAAAGAAAAGCAGCAGGUUAAUACCCCGCUGUUCUGACGGUACCCAAAGAAUAAGCACCGGCUAACUUCGUG
rnacentral:rRNA from 1 species